UGUUAGCUCAGUCGGUAGAGCGCAGGUCUCAUAAUCCAUG
rnacentral:tRNA from 1 species